CAUCCUUUUUCAUGCGACUUUGCAAUGCUCCUUGUUGAACCACAGUUGUCAAGGUAGUCCAUUAGGGCAACAGCCAAACUGACAGCAACAGUUCAGCCACAUUUACUUACGGCAACAACGCAGAUCUGUCAUAAAGUCUUUAUGCAAGCACAGCUUAAGUGAACUAAAUGAAAACAAGAAUUGCAGGACAUCUGAAUGUGUAAAAUGUAUAAAGUAUCUUCAUUCUCCCUAAACUCCAUGUAGCCACUUGUUUUCAUAUUCACUAAGUCUAUUUUUGAACAAUCUGCAACUCUUAAUAAUAUUAUUCUUGUUGAUUUAUCUUUAUGUGUAAAAAUAUGGAGGACAGGCCACUAACAUUUACAUUACUAACUAUAUGGCCAAAUGUCUAUAACCACCAAGCUGGUUUUGUGCCUUAUGGAGGAUCUCAAAACUACACAAUACCUGUACAACAGGAUUUGAUGUCAAGGCUUACUGCUAUUGCUACACUACAGUGAAAGGGAGUCCUGAACAGCAGAUAGGGGAAUUCCAGACUUAUUUGACAAAUAUGCAGUGAUUCACAGGAAGAAUAACUUGAGGAGAAUGCAGAUAACUUUGACAGUGGUGCCUUGUUUGUAUUCGCCAACUUCUCUCCCCAUCCCAACGCUACCACAGCCCUUCAUGGAAGAUUCUUCUCACAAUGUUUCCACGUGAUGCUGAAGUAGAAAAACUAGAGAAUAAAUUAGAACUCAAAGACAUGUGACCCUGGGGAAGACAUUUAUUAUUUCUGUGCCCCAUUUUCAUAUCUAUAUAAUAAAGAUUAUAAUCUCUGUCCCACCUACA